rnacentral:rRNA from 1 species
UACAGAGGUCUCAAGCGUUGUUCGGAAUUACUGGGCGUAAAGGGCUCGUAGGCGGCCAACUAAGUCAGACGUGAAAUCCCUCGGCUUAACCGGGGAACUGCAUCUGAUACUGGAUGGCUUGAGUUCGGGAGAGGGAUGCGGAAUUCCAGGUGUAGCGGUGAAAUGCGUAGAUAUCUGGAGGAAUACCGGUGGCGAAGGCGGCAUCCUGGACCGACAUUGACGCUGAACGGCGAAAGCUAGGGGAGCAAACGGG